rnacentral:rRNA from 1 species
UACGUAGGGCGCAAGCGUUGUCCGGAAUUAUUGGGCGUAAAGAGCUCGUAGGCGGCUUGUCACGUCGGUUGUGAAAGCCCGGGGCUUAACCCCGGGUCUGCAGUCGAUACGGGCUAGGCUAGAGUGUGGUAGGGGAGAUCGGAAUUCCUGGUGUAGCGGUGAAAUGCGCAGAUAUCAGGAGGAACACCGGUGGCGAAGGCGGAUCUCUGGGCCAUUACUGACGCUGAGGAGCGAAAGCGUGGGGAGCGAACAGG